GGAAACAGCUUCAGUCUCGCACAUCGGGCAAACUAACGAGCACCACUUAUUACUGAUGCUCGUUUGUUUAAAUUCUGUUUUCCAUGACUUGGACUGCAAAGCUUUCAAAGCUGCCAAAGUUGGAUUUACUUUUUUUUCCUCCCCCAUUUCAUUCAGUCCCAGUGGUGGUAUUUAGACCAAUUAUGUCUUUUAUUCUCCAACAAAUGAGCAGAUUAUAUUUUGUAUGUAUUACUCUUCUUGUCGGUUUUUAUUUACAGAUCCCGUGAAUAUGGAAAGUCUGUAAAUAAACACUCCGCCUGCAUCGAUUUCGCGGAGCCAGUUUUGCUUCAGAAUUCCUUCACGCAGAUCUGUGGAUACUGACCUGGAGGUCUGCAAGUUCCCGGCCUGAUUAACCCUUCCAGACCCGCGCAGGAGCAAAGGUUAACCAGGCUAAUCAACUUCAAGAGUCUGAUUGAAUUAGAUGACUGUGGAAUCGGGAUAGAAACGAAAUUGUACCACUUCAAAACACCCUGAGGAGAAACACUGGUCACUUGUUGACAGCCGAUAUACAGUUCAAACCGAGAUACACAUGACAGAUGUAAAUGACGGAGAAAUAACGGAGCCUCAAACAGGCAACAGGUGCAAAGUGCAAGGUUAAACAUUUUCAGCUUAUGGUCAGCAUUCAGAAUCCCUUAUACACAGAUAGUUUCAUCCUGCUUGAUACAGAUCACUUGAUUGAUGAUAUUGGUGCCUAAUACGUCAGAACAUUUUAAUCUUAAAAUUGCACAUUAUCAAUCAGUGCUCUUUUACGCUCUUGAAAUAGUUUAAUCUCGUGUUUCUUUAUCUCACUGAGACAUUGUGAUGCAGAUAUUAUGCAAAAAAAUGAGAAAAACACCUAAUCAAUCAUUUGUCUGCUUUUAAAAGUUGCUGCAUCAAUGUAGAAAAUGUCGGCUGAACAAACAAAACAUGACAUUUCAAAAAGUCCUUUUAGGAACAUAAACAAACAUUUUUAAUACAAGAAUAUCAUAAUAGUUAGAACUAAAAAUAAACCCACAAAAAAACAACAUAAACAUGGAUUUUCUUGCCCUAAUGAAGUAAUUUAUAUCUUUAUUUUGAAUAUUUCCACAGUUUACAUGUGGUUAUUUUCUAAUUUAGCUAAAAAAAAUAUAACACUACAAAGUAAAAAAUGCAUUCAACCAUUAUAAUUAAUACACUUUUAUGAUCAUUUGGUCUGAGUGUACACAUAUGCAGGUAGUUUAUCGCGUGAGAAAAAAAAUGUGCAUAGAUUUUUUUUAAAAGUGUAAGCAGAUACGUUCCUGAUUGAGUUCAUUCAACAGAUCACUUUCUGUCUGUCUGUCUGUGUGUGUGUGUGUGUGUCUGUCUGCCUGCUUGCCUGCCUGCCUGUCUGCCUGACCGCCUGCCUGUCUGCCUGACCGCCUGCCUGCCUGCCUGACCGCAUGCCUGCUUGUUCGCCUGCCUGCAUGCCCCAAGGGCCAAUUUCUAGAAAGGCAAUAGAUUCCACAUAGAUAACUGUGUUCAAUUUGCCAAUGACUGAUUAUAGUGCCAAUUUAAACAGAUAGGAAUCAAUUUGUCUCAAUGAUCACUCCUCAGGCUGACUGCCAGCAUGCUCUUAAUGCUUUUGCAAAUGCUCAUUGUUUAAAUCAUUGCUGUUGGGAUUGAAGUGAUCAAAACUGCUGAGAGAAAGAUGAGAGGUGUGAGCGGCGUGUUGGUUUGGCUGCUAAAGACUGCAUAGAUGGAGCAUGCAUGGCGGUUACUUCAGGCAGCAGCAUUGUUGCAGCAGUGGGUCAAUGGUUUAAUUCGGGGGACUCGCUAGGAAGGUCUGUGUAGGGGAAUUGUGAGAUAAGUGCUCUCUAACCCACAGAAACUGCUACUGAAGUACCCUUUGGCAAAGCAGCUUAAGUCCUAUUUGUCCCAGUGGAGCAGCACAGUGACCAUCAGGGCAAUGCUGCACUUGGACCAGGCACUUCUGUGUCUCUUUGAACCCUUGCUUUUCUUUAUAAAAGGGGAGAGCGGGGCGUCCACUCGCCUCACACUUCUUUUUUUUUUUUUUAUGCACUUGGAGUGAAAAAGUUUAGGAGAAGACGCCAGAGAGAAAGCAGCGGCUGCAUUCAUUCCUGAACCAGACAUGGCUCACAUGUGGCCCCACAGGCAGCAGACACAGUAUUGGAUUACUGUAACUCAAGGUGUAAUGUAGUAGCAGCGGGUAAAGUAUAAAACUACACAAGAGUAUAGACGCCUACUUCAGCUUUAGAUGACCUUUAUAGAAUUAUUCAGAAUCAAACCAAGUAGUUUAUUUUGUCAUACAACAAUUCUAACUGUCAUUAAAUAAUCAAUUUGACCUCUGCUUACUCAUCCUCACAUCUCCAGGUUUGACAAUUGUCACGAGUGUCUUCGUCUUUAUCGGUCAUUAUUGUGCGUCUUGUACACACAAAUACAGGUCAGUCUACUCAUGCUCAGAUUGUUGCACUUUUUCUUUGCAGUGUAGGAAAAAGAAGGUAUCCAUGAGUCUGUGUGGUACGUAUACAGCCGUGAAAUGAUCAUUUAAGUUUUAAAAGUUUGAAUUCUUACUGAAACAAUACUCUGUAUAAGUGUCCAUGCUACAUCUGCUGCCUCAACGACUAUUAAAGUCUGAAGAAAUGAGCUGCGUGUCGGCAGAUUUUCUCUUUAUUUACACCACAGUGCCUAACAUUUUUACAUAAACAAUUGAUUUAUCCUCUUUAAAACAAUAUUUCAUUGUGCAUUUCAGCUUACAAUGCUAUUGUUUUCAUAGGAAAAUGCAGCUUUGAUUAAGAGACAACACAUAUAAUUAGACGUUUUGAUCUCUGUUUAUUUCAGCUUCUGACUUCAUAGAUUUUUGAACUUGCACUGCAUGUGCUGUUCACAUAUUUCAAAAUAAAUCCUAAAGUAUCGUGUUUUAUUGUGACUUCAUAAUUGUUCAGACACAACUGAAGAAUAAAAAAAGUAUAUUUUGAGUGGAUCUGAAUUAUAUAGCGAAGAAGAAUGUGCGAGCUUGGAGCUUCAUGUGAGUCCCACCCCAACUAAACCAUGGCAAAAUCACUUGUAUGAGGCUGAGAAGUCCGUCCUGCAUGGAUGCUUUGUCAUAGGAAAACAUUUCUUUGCACAAGGGCUGUAGACAUUUUUGAAUAAAAUCUCUGAAAAUCCUAGACAUUGUUUCAUAUUAAAAUUGUUUAAGUCACAGAUUCAGGAUUUCUGAACAGAA